GACGAACCGAGCGAACGUUGUUCGGAAUCACUGGGCUUAAAGGGUGCGUAGGCGGCCAACUAAGUCCGACGUGAAAUCCCCAGGCUUAACCUGGGAACUGCGUCGGAUACUGGAUGGCUUGAAUUCGGGAGAGGGAUGCAGAAUUCCAGGUGUAGCGGUGAAAUGCGUAGAUAUCUGGAGGAAUACCGGUGGCGAAGGCGGCAUCCUGGACCGACAUUGACGCUGAUGAGCGAAAGCUAGGGGAGCAAACGGG
rnacentral:rRNA from 1 species